GCUGCCGAUGGCCCUGGCAUGAAGGAGGCUCAGAAAACUGCCAGGCUCUGCACUUUGUGAAUGACACGGGGACAAAGAGACUCGAUGGGCAGCAUCCCCCACGUGCACUGCCUCGCACCAGCUGGUAAUGAGGCUGCGUCUUUUCUUCUAGCCUAAACCACAGCACUUCUCUGCAGUGCUGCAAAAAUCCUGGAGACCUGAAAUUGCCUGAGAUGCUGCUGCAGAAAUCAUAAUCCUGCUCCCCGUGCCACCAGGAGCCUGCUCACACCGAGCCUCUUCAGAGAACGAAACCCACAGCAAUGUGCGGUGCCAGCUGCAGCCGCCCUCUGUACCCACAAGCAGCCUUUCUGUACAGGGCAAUUACAAAACACACAAGAUCAUGGCAAAGCUCCUGGAAAUUAAACUAUUCUUCACGCGUAAUGAACUGUGCGCGUCCCACACAGCAAUAAAGAUAUCAAAAGUAGUGCUAACAACUAAUGUGUGCCAUAAAUACCAACUCAUAUUCAGGGUAUAUUCGCAUGGCCAUUACAACUAAAAUAUAAAUGGAGUUUUUAUUUUAAACAUUUAAUAUUAAUCAAAUGGUUAUGAAAAUACAUAACAAACAACUGUGACACGCUCAUGGCCUAAAUAAUAAAAAUGAAAUGGGUGAUGAAUUCCUGUGAAAAUUUAAUUUGCAAAAUAAAGAACAUUGCAUUAAUAAGACAUAAUUAUAUCAUCAAAUAUUUACCAUUAUUUUCUGGAAUCCGUUUUA